rnacentral:rRNA from 1 species
ACGGGGUGCAGCAGGCGCGAAAACUUUACAAUGCGGGAAACCGCGAUAAGGGGAUACCGAGUGCCAGCAUUUAUGUUGGCUGUCCACAUGUCUAAACCGCAUGUGUUAGCAAGGGCCGGGCAAGACCGGUGCCAGCCGCCGCGGUAACACCGGCGGCCCGAGUGGUGGCCACUAUUAUUGGGUCUAAAGGGUCCGUAGCCGGUUUGAUCAGUCUUCCGGGAAAUCUGACAGCUCAACUGUUAGGCUUCUGGGGGAUACUGUCAGACUUGGGACCGGGAGAGGUAAGAGGUACUACAGGGGUAGGAGUGAAAUCUUGUAAUCCCUGUGGGACCACCAGUGGCGAAGGCGUCUUACCAGAACGGGUCCGACGGUGAGGGACGAAAGCUGGGGGCACGAACCGGGUUAGAUACCCGGGUAGUCCCAGCCGUAAACGAUGCUCGCUAGGUGUCUGGGACGGUGCGACCGUUUCAGGUGCCGCAGGGAAGCCGUGAAGCGAGCCACCUGGGAAGUACGGCCGCAAGGCUAAAUUUUAAGGAAUUGGCGGGGGAGCAC